CCUACGGGUAGCAGCAGUGGGGAAUAUUGCUCAAUGGGGGAACCCCUGCAGCAGCGACGCCGCGUGGAGGAUGAAGGUUUUCGGCUUGUAAACUCCUUUUGUUAGAGAAGAUAAUGACGGUAUCUAACGAAUAAGCACCGGCUAACUCCGUGCCAGCAGACGCGGUAAUACGGAGGGUGCAGUCGUUACUCGGAAUCACUGGGGGUAAAGAGCGCGUAGGCGGGAUAGCAAGUCAGAUGUGAAAUCCUAUGGCUUAACCAUAGAACUGCAUUUGAAACUGGUAGUCUAGAGUACAGGAGAGGUAGGCGGAAUUCUUGGUGUAGGGGUAAAAUGCGUAGAGAUCAAGAGGAACACUCAUUGCGAAGGCGACCUGCUGGAACGCAACUGACGCUGAGGCGCGAAAGCGUGGGGAGCAAACAGGAUUAGAUACCCGAGUAGUC
rnacentral:rRNA from 1 species